rnacentral:tRNA from 1 species
GUUUUUAUGGUGUAAUAAACACAUAACUUUUUCAGAGUUAGACUAACUUAUAAUUUAAAAACA